CCCUGUUUCUCUCUCUCACUUAAAUCCCUGUUUCUCUCUCUCACUUAAAUCCCUGUUUCUCUCUCUCACUUAAAUCCCUGUUUCUCUCUCUCACUUAUAUCCCUGUUUCUCUCUCUCACUUAUAUCCCUCUCUCACUUAUAUCCCUGUUUCUCUCUCUCACUUAAAUCCCUGUUUCUCUCUCUCACUUAAAUCCCUGUAUCUCUCUCACUUAUAUCCCUGUUUUUCUCUCUCACUUAAAUCCCUGUUCCUCUCUCUCACUUAUAUCCCUGUUUCUCACUCACUUAUAUCCCUGUUUCUCUCUUAUAUCCCUGUUUUUCUCUCUCACUUAUAUCCCUGUUUCUCUCUCUCACUUAUAUCCCUGUUUCUCUCUCACUUAAAUCCCUGUUUCUCUCUCUCACUUAUAUCCCUGUUUCUCUCUCACUUAUAUCCCUGUUUCUCUCUCACUUAUAUCCCUGUUUCUCUCUCACUUAUAUCCCUGUUUCUCUCUCACUUAAAUCCCUGUUUCUCACUUAUAUCCCUGUUUCUCUCUUAUAUCCCUGUUUUUCUCUCUCACUUAUAUCCCUGUUUCUCUCUCACUUAUAUCCCUGUUUCUCUCUCUCUCUUUUCACUCUGUUUUCGGAUGUGGUGACCCUUACUGCUUAGACUGUAAACUCUCUUUCCAGACUCACAUCAAACAUCUCCAAUCCAAAGUUAAAUCUAGAAUUGGCUUCCUAUUUCACAAAAAAGCAUCCUUCACUCAUGCUGCCAAACAUACCCUUGUAAAACUGUCCAUCCUACCGAUCCUCGACUUCGGCGAUGUCAUUUACAAAAUAGCCUCCAAUACCCUACUCAAUAAAUUGGAUUUAGUCUAUCACAGUGCCAUCCGUUUUGUCACCAAAGCCCCAUAUACUACCCACCAUUGCGACCUGUACGCUCUCGUUGGCUGGCCCUCGCUUCAUACUCGUCGCCAAACCCACUGGCUCCAGGUCAUCUACAAGACCCUGCUAAGUAAAGUCCCCCCUUAUCUCAGCUCGCUGGUCACCAUAGCAGAACCCACCUGUAGCACACGCUCCAGCAGGUAUAUCUCUCUGGUCACCCCCAAAACCAAUUAUUCCUUUGGCCGCCUCUCCUUCCAGUUCUCUGCUGCCAAUGACUGGAACGAAAUACAAAAAUCUCUGAAACUGGAAACACUUAUCUCCCUCAGUAGCUUUAAGUACCAGCUGUCAGAGCAGCUCACAGAUUACUGCACCUGUACAUAGCCCACCUAUAAUUUAGCCCAAACAACUACCUCUCCCCCUACUGUAUUUAUUUUGCUCCAAAAAGCACCCCAUUAUUUCUAUCUCUACUUUGCACAUUCUUCCACUGCAAAUCAACCAUUCCAGUGUUUUACUUGCUAUAUUGUAUUUACUUUGCCACCAUGGCCUUUUUUUGCCUUUACCUCCCUUAUCUUACCUCAUUUGCUCACAUUGUAUAUAGACUUAUUUUUCUACUGUAUUAUUGACUGUAUGUUUGUUUUACUCCAUGUGUAACUCUGUGUCGUUGUAUGUGUCGCACUGCUUUGCUUUAUCUUGGCCAGGUCGCAGUUGUAAAUGAGAACUUGUUCUCAACUUGCCUACCUGGUUAAAUAAAGGUGAAAUAAAAAAAAUAAAAAAAUAAAAACUGCCUGGAGACUCGCUCUCUCCUCCUCUUUCUCCCCUCUCUCCUAAUCUUUCUCCCCUCUCUCCUCUCUUCUCCUCUUUCUCCUCUCUCUCCACCCCCCUUCUCUCUCCUCCUCUUUCUCCUCUCUCUCCACCCCC
ensembl:lncRNA